AUUGAACGCUGGCGGCAGGCCUAACACAUGCAAGUCGAGCGGAUGAAGGGAGCUUGCUCCUGGAUUCAGCGGCGGACGGGUGAGUAAUGCCUAGGAAUCUGCCUGGUAGUGGGGGAUAACGUCCGGAAACGGGCGCUAAUACUGCAUACGUCCUGAGGGAGAAAGUGGGGGAUCUUCGGACCUCACGCUAUCAGAUGAGCCUAGGUCGGAUUAGCUAGUUGGUGGGGUAAAGGCCUACCAAGGCGACGAUCCGUAACUGGUCUGAGAGGAUGAUCAGUCACAUUGGAACUGAGACACGGUCCAGACUCCUACGAGAGGCAGCAGUGGGGAAUAUUGGACAGUGGGCGAAAGCCUGGUCCAGCCAUGCCGAGUGUGUGAAGAAGGUCUUCGGAUUGUAAAGCACUUUAAGUUGGGAGAAAGGGCAGUAAGUUAAUACCUUGCUGUUUUGACGUUACCAACAGAAUAAGCACCGGCUAACUUCGUG
rnacentral:rRNA from 1 species